ACUCCUACGGGAGGCAGCAGUGGGGAAUAUUGCACAAUGGGCGCAAGCCUGAUGCAGCAACGCCGUGUGAGUGAAGAAGGUUUUCGGAUCGUAAAACUCUGUCCUAAGGGAAGAAACAAAUGACGGUACCUUAGGAGGAAGCCCCGGCUAACUACGUGCCAGCAGCCGCGGUAAUACGUAGGGGGCAAGCGUUAUCCGGAAUCACUGGGCGUAAAGGGUGCGUAGGCGGCUUAGCAAGCCAGGGGUGAAAGGCAUUGGCUCAACCAAUGUAAGCCUUUGGAACUGUUAAGCUUGAGUGCAGGAGAGGUAAGUGGAAUUCCUAGUGUAGAGGUGAAAUUCGUAGAUAUUAGGAGGAAC
rnacentral:rRNA from 1 species